GCAGCUCAGUGCAGUGGCAGAGCAUCUGUUUUGCAUGUAGAAGAUCCUGGGUUCAAUUCCCAGCAUCUCCA